rnacentral:lncRNA from 1 species
GGUCAUGGCAGAGGUGGGGUUGAAACACCGGACUUUGGACUUCUGGGUGAAGGCCCAGAGGAUGUGCCGGGAAAAGUCCUCUCUUAUUUUUAACCAGAUCCCUGUUGCUGUGGGUGAAGCCUCUUCCCUUUUUCCAAAAGGGAGAAAGGAAAGUGCUGGGCCGCAGAGAUGGGGUGGCGGUUCGUCUGGGACGGGCGUGGGAAGAGUUUUUUGCCCGUUGUGAGGUGGAGGAUGGUCUGUUGGAAGGCCCGCUGCUCAGAAUGGCUUCGGGACAUCAUUGCUGGCUCUCCAGGAGUCCUGGUGGGCACUGGCAGGAAGGAGCGUGGGCAGGGCCUUGGUGCAUGCACACUCCUGCCCCCAGCCAAGCCAGAACCUCUGCUAGCACCCUCGGACCUGCCAGAGCUGAAGAUGCCUGCAGUGGGGGCAGGACCAACUCUAAAAUGUGUGGAGCCCAGAACUAGAGGAAAGGCAGGGCCUCCUAUUCAAAGAUGAUUGAGAAGCUGGCCUGAGGGGCUGCAGCCUGUGGAGGGCAGAGACAUGCCAGGAAGCCUCAGCAGGGAAGAGCCGCCAUCCCACUGCCCUCCCUC